rnacentral:rRNA from 1 species
AGUGAACGCUGGCGGUAGGCCUAACACAUGCAAGUCGAACGGCAGCACAGUAAGAGCUUGCUCUUACGGGUGGCGAGUGGCGGACGGGUGAGGAAUACAUCGUAAUCUACUUUUUCGUGGGGGAUAACGUAGGGAAACUUACGCUAAUACCGCAUACGACCUACGGGUGAAAGUAGGGGAUCUUCGGACCUUGCGCGAUUGAAUGAGCCGAUGUCGGAUUAGCUAGUUGGCGGGGUAAAGGCCCACCAAGGCGACGAUCCGUAGCUGGUCUGAGAGGAUGAUCGGCCGCACUGGAACUGAAACACGGUCAAGACUCCUACGGGAGGCAGCAGAGGGGAAUAUUGGACAAUGGGCGCAAGCAUGAUCCAGCCAUACCGAGUGGGUGAAGAAGGCCUUCGGGUUGUAAAGCCCUUUUGUUGGGAAAGAAAAGCAGCAGGUUAAUACCCCGCUGUUCUGACGGUACCCAAAGAAUAAGCACCGGCUAACUUCGUG